AAUAGAUCCAAGCCAAAUGUAGAAGACCAUUGACCAACUGCAAAAAAGAUAGCAACAACACAUUCAAACACUAGCAGCAGCAUACUAUACUGUACCAUGCGGUGUGCAGGACUUUUUUUUAUUCAGUUGGUGCGGCAAGAUCGAACACCAACAACAUGGUAAUCACCCAGCAAGAGAACGCAGUGAUAAUGGGCCAACAGAAAACACAACAUCAAGAUGCUCGGAAAGGACUUUCUCUUUCGAACAAACAUAAUGGCACGUCAUGUUCAAUCGGCUAACCGUUUGGAAUAAGCGCUCAUCAUUGGUUUCAUGGCAGGGAAGUGAGCAGGCAAAAGAAGGCAUCGUUUUUCCCGCAAGGUCGCUCUGGUCAAAAUUUCAGCGGAUUGCAAGGAAUAAACCACCCGAGGGACAGUACCCGUGCUGAUUCAGGACGAUUUCCCAUACUUUGUACCUUGCUAUUGAAUUUUAAUACCCGAUCGAAACGACGGCAAGCGCUGCCGAUAACUGGGUCAAAAAGACGACGGAUCAAGAAAUUUCUGCACACGGUGUUUUUUUGUUAUAACCUAUUUUUGAAGCGAUCAUUGGGAUGGGAUUUGAAUUUUUCUUUUCAAUACAAAUAGGUUAGCGAACUGAGUACAUAUCACCAAGGAUAAGGAUUCAGAACCGGCGGCUGGCAGUCCAGAGAAAGAGA